rnacentral:lncRNA from 1 species
AAAAAAUUAUAAACAUGUGGUCAAAAAGAAAGCUAAGUAUGCUAGGAAGAAUAACUGUAGUCAAGUCUCUAAUACUGCCAAAUAUAACAUAUAUAGCAAGCAAUAUGAUAUUACCAAAAGAUUUUAUACAAAACAUUAAAACUAUGAUAUAUAACUAUAUAUGGAAUGGGAAAAGAGAUAUGAUUAAAAGAGAUAAUUUGUCGCAAAAUUAUACGGAAGGGGGAUUAAAAAUGAUUUGUAUAGAUACCUAUAUUUCAACAAUUCAACUAAAAUGGAUAAAACAAUUAUUGUUUGAAGAAAAUGAUGAGCAACAUUGGAAGAUAAUUCCAAAAUAUUUUUUGAAUAAGUUAGGAGAUAAUUUUUUAAUAUUCAAGAUGAAUAUAGCCAAUAUAAAUAUGAUUGAAAAAAAUAUUAUAAAACAAAUCCCAGAGUUUUAUAUGCAGUUAAUAAAGACCUGGAUAAAAGUAAAAGAAAAAACUAUACAAAAGCCUACAUUGUUUUGGGAAAUAAGGAAACAAAUAAUAUGGGGCAAUAAAUAUAUUAACAUCAACAAUAAAUGUUUACUGUUUAAAAACUGGAUACAAAGCAACAUUCUGGUUAUAAAUGACUUAUUAGAUAAAGAUGGAAAUAUAUCCUCAGACAUCAUACUAAGUAAACUAAAAAUAAGGAAAACUGGAUAGCUGAGCUCACAAAACUGAAGAAAGCUAUUCCAAAACAGUGGACCAAUAUCAUCAAAAAUUCACCUUCUAAACAUACACAAGUCAAUAUAAA